AAAGGAAUAGACGGGGACCCGCACAAGCAGCGGAGCAUGUGGUUUAAUUCGAUGCAACGCGAAGAACCUUACCAGGUCUUGACAUGUAACUGCCGAUGCUAGAGAUAGCAUUUUCUCUUCGGAGACUAUUACACAGGUGGUGCAUGGUUGUCGUCAGCUCGUGUCGUGAGAUGUUGGGUUAAGUCCCGCAACGAGCGCAACCCCUAUAUCUAGUUACCAGCACUUCGGGUGGGGACUCUAGAUAGACUGCCGAUGACAAAUCGGAGGAAGGUGGGGAUGACGUCAAAUCAUCAUGCCCUUUAUGACCUGGGCUACACACGUGCUACAAUGGCCGGUACAACGGGAUGCCACGCAGUGAUGCGGAGCCAAACCAUUUAAAGCCGGCCCCAGUUCGGAUUGUAGGCUGCAACUCGCCUACAUGAAGUCGGAGUUGCUAGUAAUCGCGAAUCAGAAUGUCGCGGUGAAUGCGUUCCCGGGUCUUGUACACACCGCCCGU
rnacentral:rRNA from 1 species